rnacentral:tRNA from 1 species
GGCGAUAUGGGCGAGUGGUUAGUCGCCUGUCUGCAAAACAGGAAACCCGAGUUCGAUUCUCGGUAUCGCUUCCA